UACGAAGGGGGCUAGCGUUGCUCGGAAUCACUGGGCGUAAAGGGUGCGUAGGCGGGUCUUUUAAGUCAGGGGUGAAAUCCUGGAGCUCAACUCCAGAACUGCCUUUGAUACUGAGGAUCUUGAGUUCGGGAGAGGUGAGUGGAACUGCGAGUGUAGAGGUGAAAAUUCGUAGAUAUUCGCAAGAACACCAGUGGCGAAGGCGGCUCACUGGCCCGAUACUGACGCUGAGGCACGAAAGCGUGGGGGAGCAAACAGGGAUUAAGA
rnacentral:rRNA from 1 species